rnacentral:rRNA from 1 species
CCAAGGAGUCUAACAUGUGUGCGAGUCGUAGGGCUCUGCAAAACCCGAAGGCGAAAUGAAAGUGAAGGUUCCUCGAGGGGAGGGGGCGGGUGUAAAAGCUCGAUCAAAACUCCCCCCCUCUUGGAUGGCCAAGGCGGGAUCCCCGAAGUUGGUCGGUACAAAAAUCUGAAAAGUUGCUAACGCGCUCAAACAGGCCGCCGACCGAUAAAAAAAACUUCUGCAAACCGGGCGUAUGAAAGAAACCCGGGGGGCGCACCGCCGGCCCGUCUCGACUGUGCGUUUGAAAAACGCGGGAUCGCGGCGCAGUUUGUGCACGUUUCGUUUUACACGUGGCGGCCACUAGCUGGUCGUGCGUGUUAUUGCGGGCGUGUGCAUCUGUGUUUUUCCGCAACCCGGUCCGUUUCAUCGCAAACCAGUGAGGCGGAGCAAGAGCACACACGUUGGGACCCGAAAGAUGGUGAACUAUGCCCGGGCAGGACGAAGCCAGAGGAAACUCUGGUGGAGGUCCGUAGCGAUUCUGACGUGCAAAUCGAUCGUCGGACCUGGGUAUAGGGGCGAAAGACUAAUCGAACCAUCUAGUAGCUGGUUCCCUCCGAAGUUUCCCUCAGGAUAGCUGGCGCUCGUUGGUGUUGAUGUGAAACAGUCUCAUGCGGUAAAGCGAAUGAUUAGAGGCCUUGGGGUCGAAACGACCUCAACCUAUUCUCAAACUUUCAAUGAGUGAGACGUCUGGCUUGCUUAACUGAUUUAGCGGUCUUUUACGAAUCACGCGUUUUUUGCCUUCUCGGAUUUCGGUUGCGUGGCGUUGUGUGCGUGUGUGUGUGUGCUCUUCGCGGGGUAUAUAUAUGCUCGUGCAUUUUCGUUGCGUUUUCCGUCUUUCGUUGGAGGUGUCUAACGUACGUAAAUUGUACCCAGUGAAGCCCAGACUUUGGAUG